UACAGAGGUCCCAAGCGUUGUUCGGAUUCACUGGGCGUAAAGGGUGCGUAGGCGGUCGGGUAAGUCUGAUGUGAAAUCUCACAGCUUAACUGUGAAACUGCAUUGGAUACUAUUCGGCUUGAGAGUUGGAGGGGGUACUGGAAUUCUUGGUGUAGCAGUGAAAUGCGUAGAUAUCAAGAGGAACACCAGUGGCGAAGGCGAGUCCCUGGACAACUUCUGACGCUGAGGCACGAAAGCUAGGGGAGCAAACAGG
rnacentral:rRNA from 1 species